rnacentral:lncRNA from 1 species
CAAAUCUUGUAGAACCCGGUGGUCUACAAAAAUAUAAAGCUUUCUAAUUAUUAACACUUCAAUACUGUCAGUUGCUUCUUUUUUCUCUAUAGCAGAGCUCAACCUAGCUCUUUCUAAUCAGUGGAAACACUGCAUUCUAGAAAAAAAAUAAAAUUAAAAAAAUCAACCCUUAUUUCCAUUAGCCGAGUUAUUAGAGAGGCUGGAGCCAAUGCACAUCUGUGUGAUAUACUGACAAUGUGAAAUGUGGAAAAAAAAGAAAAGAAAAAAAAAAAGACUACAUUUCACAUUUGAGCUCUGAGUCACACACAAGAUACAGCAAAUCCCAAAUCCUUGCCUAAGAAAUCACUGAUAGCUCAGGGCUUUGCCUGAAAAAGCUGUAGCACUAAGUUUAAUUUGCAUACUCUUUCCUUUGCCAUAUUCACAACUCUGUAUUUUGCUGUAUCCGAGUAUCCAAAGCUUAUAUGUGCAUGGAAAUCUGCCUGCCCUUUGAUAAUGCUAUGGCUGCUGAUCUUCGGGUAGAGGAAGCAUUUGCUCGCAUGUCCUCAGGCACUAACAGGCCGGCAAUUCCCUUUGUCUCUGAUGGCCGGGUGGAAAGAUAUAGAAUCAGUUCUUAUGCUGCAGAGCUGGACUGGCUGCCAUUGGACUACCUUCAGAUAGUCCCCUGGACAUCUAAGCAGAUCAUGUUCCCUGCAAAAAGAGUAGUACUUGUACAUGAACGCAUCUAGAUCAUGCCGAUGCAUGUAUCAACAUCAAUCUAAACUGACAAACAACUUCAUAUUUAAUAGUCUUGUGAUUACAUUAUACAAGUGCUCUAACAUCUAAGCCAAGCUUGAGAAAGAGGCAGCAUUUUUCUUGUCCAGGAAGAGAAAGAAGCUGCCCUACAGCACCUUCAUCAAAGGAAAAUGACUUUGAUCCUUCAGCUGCAUUAAGGGAGGGCUGUAAUACAGUUGUAGACAUCAUCCUUGUUGAUGAAUGAAGGGAUACUAUAGUAAGACAUCAGGAUACAUGGAGGUAGAGCCAUUUUUUUCCCUUAGGUUUUUAUAAACUGUAUAAGGUCCAAGCAUGAAUCACACUCAGAAAUGAGCUAGGUCAAUCAGCUCUUGAAAAAACUAAAGUGCUCAAUCACCCCUCAUCCCCCUAAAGAUAAAAGAUAAAUUAUACAAUGCACUCAGACCCAGAAAGAAGAAAGAGUUAAUCAAAGCUCAGGUCAGGGAUCAAAGUAGUGGUGCAAAGGCUUAGGGCAAAGAAGAAAUGGAAACAUCAGAGAAAAAAAAAUGAUGCAGGAAAAGCGAUAGAGAGAAGAGAGGUGUAGACUGAGGAGGGCAAUAUGUGACAGCAUUGAAACACAUGGAAAAGGGCAAAGGUGUUAGGCAAAUAGACUGGAAUCCCGGCAGAAGCUACCUGGAAUUGGAUAGGAAGGAAGAAAAUUGUGAACUGCAGCUUGAUCAGGUCAUGUAAUUAACUACCUGGAUCAAAUUCUCCCCUGAUUUAUUCUCCAGGAUCAAAUAAUUGGCAAUACUUUGGGAAAGAUGAACAUUAUUGUAAUUUGGUCAUUUGUCUUUUUAAACAGUUCUAGCUAACUUUUCAGGACUAAGGUUCGACUGACGAAUUUGUCUGAAAACAUUUCUUUAAGUUAUUAAUUUUUUGCUACAUGAUAUAUAGGUACCUAGAAUCUGGACACAUAGAAUCAAAUGGAUUUCUCACCAAGGACAAAGGCCUGUUCUUACAAAACUGGCUGGAGCAAUUUCAGAAAUUACUGCUCCACCCUUUCCAUAUUAUUCAUAAAUGAAAAGUCACCAUCCAAUAAGCUGUCGAAGGAACAGUUUAAGCUCAGCAAUUUUUCAUUGCAUCAGUAUGGAUCAGAUAUAUACUCUUAAUGGCAGUUACUGUGUCUUAGUGGGCCAGAAUGGCAACUUCCAGCUCAUAGCUGGUAAGUAAAAACUAGUAGAACGUUUUCUGAUCCAUGAGAACAUCUUAAUUUAUGUUUCCAUGUUUCAGUUUCAAUGUUGUAUGUUAUUUUCCACAUAGCACUGCUCAUUCAAGACCCAGUAAGUGUCAGUGCUGCCAAGGAUCCCAACUUGGGAAGGAAUGGUAGCAACUACUGGGGAAAAAAAAAAAAAAAGAGUUUUUUUAAAAAUCAUGAACUCAUAGAAUAAUUCAGGUUGGACCUCAGGAGGUCAUCUAGCCAACUGCCAACUCUGACCCGGUUUCGUCUGCUUGCCUGAAGCACCCAGCUUUCUCUCAAGCAUGGCUGUAGGAGCAGACUUUUAUUAGUGUACAUCUUGAACAGAUGUGAUGGAUUUUGUUGUUUUUUCUUUUAAUUUUUUCUUGAAUUUCAUACCUUCAAGAAUAGACAGUGCUUAAUGAUUAUGAAUGUAUUAUGAUCAUUCUCAACAUAUGCUAGUCUGUAUUGCUUGAUAAACCACAGAUAAAUAAAGUGCAGGUAUUUUGUAUUAGUAGCUGCUUU